rnacentral:rRNA from 1 species
UACGAAGGGGGGCUAGCGUUGCUCGGAAUUACUGGGCGUAAAGCGCACGUAGGCGGCUUUGUAAGUUAGAGGUGAAAGCCCAGGGCUCAACCCUGGAAUUGCCUUUAAGACUGCAUCGCUUGAACAUCGGAGAGGUAAGUGGAAUUCCGAGUGUAGAGGUGAAAUUCGUAGAUAUUCGGAAGAACACCAGUGGCGAAGGCGACUUACUGGACGAUUGUUGACGCUGAGGUGCGAAAGCGUGGGGAGCAAACAGG